ensembl:lncRNA
UCACAGUUGUGUUCAUGCAGCUCAGAAGCUGGAUCUGUAUCAGCUGUUGGCUCGUAAUGCCUAUUCUCCACAAGAGACGUUUGUGCCAAAUUUGGGAAAGACUGUUUCGUCUACAGUUCAUGAGGUGAUGAACAUGUCCCGCAGCAGUUAUGCAUCCCGCUUGGGGUCCAUCUGUUCACCUGUACAGCAGACUUCCUGAACUAACUCACUGUGUUUGUCUGCAGCGGGUCAUGGUACAGUUUGAGUGGCAUGAUGGGACAGUGAAGAAUCUUUCAUCAGUGCAAAAGUACCAGGGUGCAGGUUCUUCUGGACAUGUCUGGGAUGAACGCCCUCCACCUGCUCCAUCUCCAGCACGCUCUGUGAAUACUACUGCAGGAGCAGCUGGCCAACCAACAGAGCUUCAAUGUCAUCCUGUAGGUCAAACACACCGCCGGGGUGUUUUCACUCAUUUAUAA